rnacentral:lncRNA from 1 species
UUUUUUUUUUUUCCUGCCUCUGUUUUUACAUACAUAUAAAACUUUUCUUAAAAAAAUUCAAAAAAAUUUUCUUUUAUCAACCAUUCAACAAAUAUCCACUGAGGACUACCAAGUAUCAGGUACUGUGCUAGGCCUGGAAAAGUCAAAGACAAUUAGAUCUGGCUCAAAUUGCUCCCGGGCUAAGACAGAUACACCGUUCAUAAAACACUGUGGUGAUGCAGUGAGAUAGACAUGCAGAGGCUGCCAUGAGAAUACCAGGAAGGAAUGCCUAAUGCAAGCAGUCAGGAGAGGGUUCUGACAGAGAUAAGAUCUAAUGAAGUCUAAAGUGAGUCUAAGCAGCGCCUCGAAAACUUUAAAUCACCCAAGAGACUUGUUUGAAAGAUUCUGAGUCAGUAGAUCUGGGUGGGACUUGAGACGCUGCAGCUCUAACCAAGCUCCCAGAUAAUGUCCAUGCUGCCGGUGCCCAGAAUAGUCUUGGAAUCGCAAAGCUCUUAAAAGAUGACUAAGGUCUAAGGAAGGGAUGGGUGGGCUCAGCCCAGACAGAACGACGGUGUGAAGUACAUCACGGAGGUGAGAAAGAGUUGAGUGCGUGAAGAGGCUGAGGGACAUUUGUGCCCCCAGGUAACUGGAGGGAUCAUCAGUUCCUAAAUCGGAGGUGGAUGGGAGUGUGAUAUAUUUUAAGGCGAAGAGAAUUUAUUACACAGGCAAUGGAGCAUAUCAAAGUAAGCAAGGCUGUUACAUGGCUACAACUGCAAAUCAGAUCUGGUGGUUUCAUAGGUAGACUCAUGAACAAGAAGAUAAUACACUAUCUUGGAGUGACCGUCGCGGCUCAGUGGAAACGAAUCUGACAUCCAUGAGGACGCAGGUUUGAUCCCUGGCCUCGAUUAGCAGGUUGAGGAUCCGGGGUUGCUGUGAACUGUGGUGCAGGUCGCAGACGUGGCUCUGAUCCCAAUCCCCCAUCACCGUGGCUGUGGUGUAGGCUGGCAGCUGCAGCUCUGAUUCGACCCCUAGCCUGGGAAUCUCCACAUGCCGCAGGUGCAGCCCUAAAAAAAAAAAAGAAGAAGAAGAAGAAGAAGAUGAAGAAGAAGAAGAAGAAAAUACACUAUCUUUAAAUAAACCUACGAACAAUGACAAUGAUGAGGGCCUAAUUUUGGCAAUAGCAAUAGGUGUAUUUCAAAGGGAACUGACAUGAAAAGUGUUUAGGAAAUAAAACAGGUUGAUUGCAUAUUACCCUAUUAUUUUAAAAAAUCAGGCAAGUUUCUAUUUUUUUGCAUUCUUUGCCAGCUUGGUGUCUAUUCUUAAUCUGACAGUAGCAUGUGAUGUUGAACAAGCCGCUUAAUCUCUUUUCACACCAGGUUCCACAUUUUAAAAGAGUAAGGAGUUGACCCAAAUAAACCUUGUGGUCUCUUUAAACUCUAAACUUUAUGAUUCUAUGAAUUAAAUUCAUUUUUUAUUGAAUUAUGGAAUCAUAAAGUGUAUUCUUAAAACCUACCAUAAUAGCUGGAAUGUUAAUAUAAAUUGUAUGACUAAGAUCGAAUCUACCUGGCCAACAGGUCCUAACACUUGAGACUUUUAUAAUCCUCCCUCUUCUUCACCCAUGAAAUUCACUACUGAGUUUGGCUGCUGUGUACUUAAUGUCCUACUGAAGAUUCUUGGGUUUGUGCCCUUAUUAUUCUUUAGCUGGAUUCCUGCAGUAGCACCUUCAAAGUUCUCUCUGGCUCUAAUUUAAUCCCCUUCCAAACACUAUCCAAGAAACCAAAGAACUCUGGUGUCAGAAAGGCGUAGAUUUAAGUGCUAAAUCUGCUGUUUCUUAGUUAUGUGACUGUCAGCAAAUUAUUUAACCUCUCUGAACCAGAGUUUCCUUAUCUAUAAAUCACAAGCAUGAUAUGAAGAUUAAAUGUUUAUAAAGGGCUUAGCACAGUACCUAUUACACAGUAGGAACUCAAUAAAUGCUAGUUAUUACUGUGAAAGACAAAUCUCACAAAGACUUGAGCCAACACUUCGCAAAAGAGCAAGAUCAAAUGCCCAAUAAAAGGUGAAAAGAUAUUCUUCUUCAUUGGUAAUCAGCAAAAUGCAAAUUAAUGCUUCCAUGAGUACAAUAAGGUGCCCACCUGAUUGGCAAAUUUUAAGAACUUAAAACCUAAGUAUUGGUAAGGACAUAGAGCUUCUUAUAUAUUGAAUGUAAAUUUUAAGCACUUAAAAACUAAGGAUUGAUAAGGACAUAGAGCUUCUUAUAUAUUGAAUAUAAACUGAUGCAACCAAUUGGGGAAAGUAUUUGGCAAUAUUUAGAAGAACAAUGCGCACCUACCCCAAAACUCAGUAGUUCCUUUCCUUUAUAUGUAUCCUAGAAGCUCUUAUACCUGCAUACUAGAAUCUAUGAGCAAGAAUACACAUACGUAUAAAAGCAUCAUAUAUACUUAGUAAUGAUAUUUAUAUAUAAAUAUAUUUAAUAUUUAUCUACUGCACUUAUGUAGAAAUAACUCAGGUUAUAUAUGUGUACACACACAUACGCUCUUAAGUAAUACAGAAACAAUCCACAUUUCUAUUAAUAGCAGAAUGGGUAAGUACAUUUUGGCAUAUUCAUAGAGUAAACAAUGUAAGUUACACGAAUAAACUAAAUGCAUCAACCUGAAGAAUCUUACAGUGUUUAGCAAAAUCGGGUGAUUAAGAAUAUACAUGCUACUAUGGUUACAACAUUGAAAACCUACAAAGAAAAGCAAGGGAGUAAAAUGUGACAAAACUCAGGGUAGUGGUUACCUCUGGUGGGAAAGGAAAAGAAUCGAAGUUACCUCUGAUCCUCAAGCGCACAGAGGGCUCACAGGGAGUCUCUGCUCUUCAACGCGGACGGUGGUCACAUGAGGUCCACCUUAUAGGUAUUCUUUUUUUGAGCAGUUUCAGGAAUUAUUUCAUUUAUUUUAUGGAGAAGCUCUAUAGCUGGGUGAUUAGGAAUGCCUGCCUAGGAACCAAACUUUCCAGAAUUUGGAUUCCAGAUCUUCUACCCUUUUAGCUGUAUAACUCUUGAAAACUCACUGAAACUUUUAGCCUCAGGAUUCCUCAGCUUUAGAAGAUAAAAAAAUGAUUCCAGGUCUAUAAAGUUAGUGUAAAGAUUAAAUCAGAUAAUGACUGUCAGGCAUUUAAGGUAGUACUAAUAAAUGCUGGUUCUUAUCAUCAGAACACUGACGUUCCUGCAUUGUUUUUAAUGCUCUGUGGAUUUUUCUUAAAGAGUAUUCAUGUGUCUUAUAAAUCACUUUUGGAUGAUUUAAGAGAGAAACACACUCAGCAUUUCCUAGUUUUGGAGUUAUAGUGCUAUAUAUUAACACUGGAGAUAAUUUUGAAAUUUUUGAAAAAUUUAAGUUAAUAGAAAUGCCCUAACAUUUAUUACCAGCUUUGCAUGUUGUCCAGAUUGAUAGUUAUAUGCAUAUACACAUGCAUUAUACAAAUAAGUGCUAUUUCUGUCAUCUCUAUAAUUACUCUUUAAACCGCAUUUGUUUUCCAGGUGCAUGAUAUUUACUAAAAGAUGGAUCUCAUCAUGUCAUUCUACUUAAAAUCUUUGGAAAGUCUUCAUUUUGGAAUAAAAUACAAACUUCUUCACUUUGUCUAAAAAACCCUACAUAGAGAACUGCUGGACCCUUCUUCAGCUUUCUCUCUAUCACCCCCAUUUAUGCCCCAAGAUAGUAAAUGGCAUCGAAUGCCCCGAACAAUCACGCUCUCUCAAGACUCUGGGCCCCUGGACAAUGUUCUCACCUGUCCCCUUCUUGUAGUUAUCCUCUCCCUGUCUUUAACAUUCGGCUAAAACAUCGCUCCCUCUGGGAAGCCUUCCUUGACGAAUCCCCCUCCCAUCUGUCUUAGACUCUCCUUUGCCGGACUUCUUUAGCACCCAAUGUCACCCACUUAAUAGCAGUGGAUAAGUACCACACUCUUUAGAAACAACGCCCGUUUUAAUGGCAUGCUCGAUCAGAAGUGCCACGUUCCUUACACAAAGCUCCUUUAAGCAGGUACUGUCUUUUUCAUCUGUUCCAAGAGCUAA